CGUGACAGUGAAACCAGAGCUGGGAACCGCAGUCACCUCCGCUGACAUGCCUGUAAAACGGGAACCAAUAGGAGUAAAAGUUGAAGAAUACUGGAUCGUGGGCAAGUCUGGCCAACAUGAACACUCCAACAAGCAAGAAGCCGAUGUCAGCUAACAGCUUUGAGCUCUUCAAGAAGCAGGCACAAGAGAGAGUGGAGAGGGAGAAGGCUAUGAAGCAACAGGAGGAGUAUCCCAAGGUUAUGAAGGAGAAGGAGGAGAGGGAGAGGAU